UACGGAGGGGGCUAGCGUUGUUCGGAAUUACUGGGCGUAAAGCGCACGUAGGUGGACUGUUAAGUCGGGGGUGAAAUCCUGGGGCUCAACCUCAGAAUUGCCUCCGAUACUGGCAGUCUCGAGUGCGGGAGAGGUGAGUGGAAUUCCCAGUGUAGAGGUGAAAUUCGUAGAUAUUGGGAAGAACACCAGUGGCGAAGGCGGCUCACUGGCCCGUAACUGACGCUGAGGUGCGAAAGCGUGGGGAGCAAACAGG
rnacentral:rRNA from 1 species